rnacentral:rRNA from 1 species
GACGAACGCUGGCGGCGUGCUCAUACAUGCAAGUCGAACGAGAAGUCUACUUCGGUAGAUGGAAAGUGGCGGACGGGUGAGUAAAAUGUAGGGAAUCUGCCUUUCAGUGGGGGACAACAGUCGGAAACGACUGCUAAUACCGCAUGACGCUUCUUGGGGGCAUCCCUGAGAAGUCAAAGCUUUAUGUGCUGAAAGAUGGAUUCGCGUCUGAUUAGCUAGUUGGUGAGGUAACGGCUCACCAAGGCGACGAUCAGUAGCCGGUCUGAGAGGAUGAACGGCCACAUUGGGACUGAGAUACGGCCCAG